GUUAUGAUUUGUCACCUUAUACCAAGGCUAAUGGUAACUCAGUGUCAGAAAAUGACUACUGACAACUUGUUCAUAAAUAGAUUUAAUUUUAUAAAUGAAAGUUUAACACCAUGAUUAUGAUGGCAUUAACUAAAAAAAGAGUGGUAGUAUUGAUUCACCAAGAAGUGCAGGAAAAAAUGCUGUAAAACUUUCUGAAUUAUUAAUUUUCAAUUUAAAUAUUUUCAUUCUCUUUUAAUUUCUACUGCAGCAUUUUCCCCUUUGCUCCAAUGGUAAAGUUGUUCUUCAUCUUGUGCCGCCUGUACCUCAAUUGGAGCUUGGCGAGUUCUUUUAUCAGGUUGGGCACACUAAUCCAUGUACCCUUGUGGUUAAGUUUGCCAAGUACCAGAAGAGAGGGACAUCAUUGACUGUGAAUCCAUUGCAACGUUCAACGGUUGAUGAGGCCGACUAUGACAUUGCUUUCACCAAAGAGUACUUUGACAAUAUAAGAAGUGAAGCUCCACAAGGUUUAGGAGAUGUGCUUAUGCGCACUCUUAUUGUCCUGAGUAGGCCAACUUGGGAAGUUCAAAGAGAGGGUGCUGUGGAACAUCAUCUCAGAACUUGUCCUGGUGAGAGACGUGGGAGGUUGCGAACAGAUUCCCACCUCUCUGUCCAAGAAAGCUGUGAUGAAUCAAACGCUAGUGAUUGGAGCACAGAGCCUCACUCUCCCACAGAAAAUAAUGAUUUCAGCUCACUAAGGGAUGAUGCAUUCAGACGCUCGAAUAGCUCCAACUCAGAGUAAUAGGUUUCUCUGCACAUAAAGGUUGGAUAUGAUGUGAAAGGAAUCCUCAAUCAAGUUUAAUUAAUAGGCCAUAUUAAUUUUACUUUUGGUGUAUGGAAAAAGAGUGGUCCUUAUUUAUGUGUGUGUGUGUUUUUUUUUUCCUGCAUUAUUUUAGGUUUAGAACAUAUUUUAUUCCUUUAUUUGUGUGACUAAUGAUAUAUUUAGAACAGGACCUCUCUGUAUAUCACCAGUAGGUGAGAGAGCUUCCUGUAAUAAAUAUUAUUAUAUUAUGUUUUGAAACUAGAACCAUUAGAUAAAUAAACUUAUCACCAAAAAAUCAAAUUUGAUAUAAAACACAGUGUCGCUGAAUAGGAAAGCAUUGAUUUGUAUUUCUAAUCAGCGAAAACCCAUGUGUAAGAACCUACACUUUUUGUACUCUGGCAAAAUAGGUUCUUGUAUUCGGGGGUACUUAUUGGCAAUUUAGGCUAAGGUUCUUAUUAGGUUCUUAAU